rnacentral:rRNA from 1 species
CAGUAGCCGCGGGAACACGUAAGGUGCGAGCGUUGUUCGGAAUUAUUGGGCGUAAAGGGCAUGCAGGCGGUCGUGCAAGCCCGGCGUGAAAGGUGGGGGCUCAACUCCCAAACUGCGCUGGGAACUGCAAGGCUUGAGUUUCUGAAGGGCAGCCGGAAUUCCACGUGUAGGGGUGAAAUCUGUAGAUAUGUGGAAGAACACCAAUGGCGAAGGCAGGCUACCGGCAGAAGACUGACGCUGAGGUGCGAAGGUGCGGGGAGCAAAUGGGAUUAGAUACCCCCGUAGUCCCUGUCUCUUAUAC